rnacentral:lncRNA from 1 species
CAUGCUAAUUUCAGAAGUUCUAACAGUUGAUUUCUUUGUUUCCAGGGUGACAUCCAGCAGCUGAUGAUUGUAUCGGACCAUCGUGCUGCGCUUGACUACUGUGAGCACUACAGCCCUGACUGUGAGGUUCCUGCACCCGAACAGCCCCAGAACCAAGACCCAAACACUGAUGAAUAUAACACAGAGGAUGAUAACUACUAUUACGAAUAUCCGUACUAUGAGGACAUGGAUGCAGAAAAGACAGAAGAAACGACAGCCGAUGAAACGACUGGAACCGAAACUGAAGACCUAAUGGUGUCUGUUCCGGAUAGCGGUCGUGUGGUUACGUCAGUUAUCACUAGUGGAACAGGAGGCUCCAGCAGUUCAUCGAGUAGCUCCUCGUCAUCCUCCUCUUCAUCCUCUUCAUCAUCCAGCUCUACCACGAGUACUGGCGAGGAACCGUAUGAUGGCUACGAUGGAUACGAGACCGGAUACGAAACAUACUAUGAUGAGACGACCUCACGGCCUGAUGGCUCCCGGACCAUCAGAAUCACUAGCACAGGCACAGGUACCGGUGGAGAAGUGGAUAUGGGACUGGUCGGUGAGGUGGAUAUGGGACUGGGAGACCUGGACAGGCGGAUCAUCACAUCAUCAUCAUCAUCAUCAUCAUCAUCAGGAGGAGGAGGAAGUGGAAGAGUACACUCAACUGUCACAGUCAUUAACAAUGGAACCUCCGGCUCCAAUUCUGGCUCCGGCACUGGCUCUAGCACCAGAAUCAUUACUAGCUCCAGUUCCGGCUCUGGAGUCAGUACCGGCUCCAGCUCCAGCUCCAGCUCCAGCUCCAGCUCCAGCUCCAGCUCUACCUCGGUGAGUUUCGUUGGAACUAGUGAUCCGAAACAGUUUCACUUUUAAGUGAGAAUCAAU